UGAUAGCUCAGUCAGUAGAGCGUGAGGCUCUUAAUCUGAGAGCCAUAGGUUCAAACCCCACGUUGGGCAAAA